rnacentral:pre_miRNA from 1 species
UUAUCUCAAAUAUGUAUGGAGUUGGAUACGGGUUCCUACGUUUGCCGCUAGGUGCGUUGUUGCAACUGCUUACAAAUUUGAGUUA